GCGCCACCUCGUAUCUCCUCAUUCCCGACAUGUCCUGGGCUCCGAACGUCUCCUGGGGAGCGGCAUGAUUGAAUCAGGGAUUCCCUAGCCCCAGGUCCCCUUCUCCGUCAUUCUCAGGACGAGGCUGCCCAGUUCUCAGAAAACCAGUAUGCUGAGAAGAGGAGUGGUGCCAUACAAGAGGCCAUGGAGGAUGAGCAGAGAUGGACAAAUGAGGAGAGUCCCUGGGAGCAGCAGGCAGAAAAAUGUGAAAAGAGAGACUGGCCUAGCCUCCCAGCCUACAUCUUUCUCCCGUGCUGGAUGUUUCCUGCCCUCGAACGUUGGACUCCAAGCUCUUCAGUUUUGGAACUCAAACUGGCUCUCCUUGCUCCUCAGCCUGCAGACGGCCUAUUGUGGGACCUUGUGAUCAUCAAUAGAAAACCAAUACAAGGCUGGGUGCAGUGGCUCAUGCCUGUAAUCUCAGCACUUUGGAGGACAAGGUGGGCAGAUCACCUGAGGUCAGGAGUUCGAGACCAGCCUGGCCAACAUGGUUGUUGUGGUGGUAUUACUACUACUCAGCAAGAUUCUGGUUUUACUUCUCAUCUUGGGAGUUACCACCUUGACGUUAGGUAUGGCUGUGUGACCCACUUUGGCCAGUGAAAUGUGAACAGAAAUGGCAUAUGUCACUUGUGGACAAAAACAUUUAAGCAAUAAUUUCCCUGGCUGUCUUCCUUGACUGGAGCCACCAUGGAAGCCUGUGUUGAGAUGAAGAAGCAUGCCAGCAGAUCAAAACACUUGAAAACUUGAGCAGCCACAUGGACUACAGCUGUGCUGGAGACUUGCCUGGACCCACAGCAGGCUUGGUAUGCAUGGGGAAUAGAAUUUUGUUGCAUUAUGCUCCUCAGAUUUGGAUGUCAUUUGUUAUUACAGCAUUACCUAGCCUAUUCUGACCAAUCAGGUGUGUUGGUGGUGGUUACCAGGUGUUAGAAAAUAGAGACGUAAGAUUACAAUAAAACUGCAGGGGGAAAACAUGUCACCCCAAUAUCUUGGAUUUAGAAUCGGAUGUUGCUAUGGAAUGAAUUGUGUCCCCCGCAAAUUCGUAUGUUAAGUCUUAACCCUAAAUGUGACUGUAUCUGAAGAUGGGGUCUUUAGGAGGUAAUUAAGGUUAAAUGAGGCUGGGUGUGGUGGCUCACACCUGUAAUCCCAGCCCUUUGGGAGACCGAGGUGGGUGAAUCACCUGAGGUCAGGAGUUCGAGACCAGCUUGGCCAACAUGGUGAAGCCCUGUCUCUACUAAAAAUACAAAAAUUAGCGGGGUGUGGUGGUGUGUGCCUGUAGUCCCAGCUACUUGGGAGGCUGAGGCAGGAAGAAUUGCUUGAACCCAGGAGGUGGAGAUUGCAUUGAGCCAAGAUCGUGCCACUGUACUACAGCCUGGGUGACAGAGUGAGACUCCAUCUCAGAAAAGAAGAAGAAGAAAAAAAGGUUAAAUGAGUCAUAAUUCGAUAGGUGUAUAGACUUAGAAGAAGAGGAAGGGACCUCUCUUUGUCUCUCUCUGUCACAUAGUAAGAAGGUGGCUGGCUGGUUGCAAGCCACAAAAAAAGCUCUCACCAGAAAGUGACUAUCUUGGCACUUUUUUUUGAGGCAGUGUCUUGCUGUUGCCCAGGAUGGAGUACAGUGUCAUGAUCACGUCUCACUGCAGCCUCAACCUCCCAGGCUUGAGAGUUCCUCCCAGCUCAGCUUCCCAAGUAACUGGGACUACAGGCACCUGCCACCACACCCAUCUGAUUAUUUCUAUUUUUUUUGUGUGUGUCUGUGUAGAGCCAUUGCCCAGACUGGUAUCAAAUUCCUGGGCUGAAAUGAUCCUCCUGCUUUGGCCUCCCAAAGUGCAGGGAUUACAGUCAUGAGCCACUGCGCCUGGCCCAUCUUGGCACUUUUGAUCGUGGACUUCUUACCUUCAGAACUGGGCAGCUGUAGCUAUGAUUCCAGAGGUGGCAUCUGGCAGGCUGACCACCUAACACUGAUACAAGGAGAAGUAAUGCCUGGAUGUGAGAAAGAAAAAGAACUUCACAAAGGAUACCAGCUGAAGCUUAAGACGUAGUUCACAGAGAUGAGGUCUUGCUGUGUUGCCCAGUCUGGUCUUGAACUCCCGGGCUCAAGUGAUCCUCCUGCCUUGGCCUCCCAAAGUGCUGGAAUUAUAGGUAUG